rnacentral:rRNA from 1 species
UACGUAGGGUGCGAGCGUUGCCCGGAUUUAUUGGGCGUAAAGGGCGCGUAGGCGGCCACGCACGUCCGUUGUGAAAUCGCCCGGCUCAACUGGGCGGGGUCGGCGGAUACGGCGUGGCUGGAGCAAGCUAGGGGGCAAUGGAAUUCCCGGUGUAGUGGUGGAAUGCGUAGAUAUCGGGAGGAACACCAGUGGCGAAGGCAGAUCUCUGGGCCGUAACUGACGCUGAGGAGCGAAAGCAUGGGGAGCGAACAGG